GGUAUAUAUGGGUUGAGACCAACAGACUAGACCUUAAUUUUUAAACUCAGCCUCUUUCUCUAGAGGUCAGCACCAUUUGAUGUUUGGAUGUGGCCCACAAGGUGAAGGAGGAGCUCCCUGGACCCACAGCCUCAUUACCCUUCCACUGUUAAAUGACCGAAAACAUAAAGUCAUUCCCCAGGACUGGCCAAACACUGAGACCAGCACAGAGUCCCUAGACGGCGGGCAGUGGAGAGGAGUGACCUCACUGGAUGGUGUACUUGCCCCAUACUUGAUCAUCUGAUCUUCAGGACCACACUGUAAGUGCUGCAAGGUUCUGAUGAUCAUGGAGUAGCAGAAGAGCAUGAUCCCCAAGGGGAUCACCAACCCAAAGAUGUUGAUCUCCAGGGAGCUGAGAACCUUCCACGUGGUGGAGUUGACAGAGUACUUGGUUUUGCAGAUGUGUGGACUUAGGCAAGAUGUGCUCAAGGGGAAGAGCCCUACAUGUAUGGCUACCCGUCAGAAGAGGGUUCCGAAGCGUGGGGACAGGUAGAGAGCAUAAGCAGAAAGCAGAGAAAAGUGACUCAUUUCCCCAAACUGAAGGUUAGGAAAAUUUGCUUUCUUCUGUAAGAGGAGAAAAUGGAGAGGAAAGCCAAAAACCUGAGCAGAAGAAGACUCAGUGUAAACCCUGCCCCAAACUAUGAUCCACAGCACCUGUUGCCCAACAUGAGACCACAGCGACCCCUGGUGACCAGGCUUAUUGCAACACCAAGACAUCUGCUUGCUGAGACCACCAGCCUUCCACAGUCUGUGGGCUCUUCCAGAUUCCGUCAGCACUGCGGCUUCUUCUCGCCCCUGGCAUCAAAAUGUUCCAUCGCCUACCUUCAUUUUAUAAAAACCCCUGAGGGUGACAUCUGGCCCACCCAGAUCAUCCAGGAUGAUCUCCCUUUCUCCAAGUCUUUAAUUUAGUAAUUUCUGCAAAGUUCCUUUUGAAUGUAAAGCAGCACAUUCACAGGUUCUGGAGAUAAGGACAUGGACAUCUUUAUGGGCUACAAUCCUGUAUCACAUCGCAUUGAGCAAUAUUACCACUGACACCAGAAAACUCUUACUCAAAAAUUAUUAUAUUUGGGCUGGAAAUGUGGCUCAAGCAGUAGCGCGCUCGCCUGGCAUGCGUGCAGCCC